rnacentral:lncRNA from 1 species
GUUUCAAUGCUGUGAGAAAUGCAACAACUACUCUUGGUGAAAAUCACCACCGGGCUUGAUGUUCCCAACUUCAUCACCAUAUCCAUGUUUAAAUAACUUCAAGAAUUAAUGAGUAUAGUUUGGCCAAAUGCCAAGGUAUGUAUAUAGGUUUUAGUGAAGAGGAAAGAAAUUGUGAAGCUUAAGGCUACAAAAUUUUUUGAAGUGAAUUUGAGGUUUGAUUUGUUGUUGAGAAAAUUGGACCUUCCACGAAGCUAUAUAUAGAGAUAUUAUGUUUGCUAAAAGAGAAAAAAAAUUGAAAAUUGGUAGAAGAAUAUCAAGUUGAUGGAUAUAUGUAGAUUGUUCUUGAUCACUUGUAUGAUAAAGGGCAUGCAUGAAAAAUGAAUAGAAUAUAAUCAUCACCUUUAAAAUAUUCCCAUAACACUGUUCCCUUUGGAUUGUCACUAGAUUUAUUGGUUUUUUCUUUCUCAUUUUUUAAUCUUUUUGUUUAAAAACAAAAAUUCGGCGUAGAGGAAGAGUAUUACAAAGUGAGAAAUCAAACCUUUACCAAUAAAGUGAAAGUUUAGAUAAUUAACCAACCGAGCUACUUCAAUAAUUAUAAAUAUUGCAUUUAAUAUAGGUUAAGUUCUUAUAAGAACAAAAUGUAUAUAUUUUGUAAAUUGUUGAAAACAAUGUACUAUUCUGCUAAAGGAAAAAUAAAUCUAUAUGUCCAGCUGGUGUAAUCUUUUUCAAUAGAAUAUUACUUUUAAUUUGAGAAAUAAAAAAUCUUUUAAGAAUAUAUAUCCUCAUAUAGACGUGUUGUUGAAAUAAAGUCCACACUAAUUAUACGAUCUGUACCAUAGACAAAUUUUGAUUAAAAUUCCCUUUGGUAUAAAGUAGAUAUAUCAAGAAAGGGAAUGUAGUACAAUUAGUACUGAUCCAGAAAAAUGCUUGAUCCCUUACAAUUUCGAAAGGCCACAUAUUAUCAUAGUACUCUAUUUUUCCCAGGUAAAGGUAUCGAAAUGUAACGAUUAAUCGAUUAAUAUAGGCAUAAUACAUAUAUAUGUCAAUUAAUUUGGCAUCAUCUAGCAUUUAUUGGGUGUGAACAAGUAGAUACUUAAACUUGUAUAAAGUUGAACAAGUCGACAGACGCGUCCUAUGUGGCAUGGUACACAUAAGACGCCACAUAAGAUGUUGCAUAGAACGUGAAUUGUCACGUAGGACGUGUGUGUCUACUUGUUCAAUUCUAUACAAGUUAAAGAGCCUACUUGUGCAUCCAAAAUUGGAAGGCAUAGAUGUCAGAUAAAACCAAAUUAAAGGUCAUAAAGUAUUACAAUGUAAUCUUGGAAUGUUAUUCAAAGAUAUUUUUUGAGAUGAUCAAAGCUAAUUACAAUAACCCUUGGCAAAUGAAGAACAUCAUUACUCAUAUUCAAAAUAUUUCAAGUACUAUUACUUGCGAGGUACAACAUUGUUACAGGGAAGUCAAUCAAGUAGCAAAUGUCUAGGCAAAAUGGGGUUAUUACAAAUGAGGAGUUUUUUGCGCAUGCUUACCUACCAUUGAUAGCCAUCGGACCUUACCAACUUGAUCUCAUACAAAUGAGUCCCUACAACAUAAGCAGAGGAAAAAAAUAUUUGUAUAAAACUGAUUCAGUUGAGAUGUUAUAGCUAAUUUUGUCUAUCACGUUGGAUUUGUAAAUUUGUGCAAAACUUGUAUAAUUAUUGCCAGAAUCUUAGUUUUCGUGAAGCAGCUUUUGGCUACGAUGUGGAACAUUGGGUCGAGCUUAAGCUCCCCUAGCUUUGUAAUUUUAUUCAUCAAUAUAUAUAAAGGUCUUACCACCAUAUGGUGAUAAAUUAUUAUUUUUUUAGAAAAAAAUCAUAUUUAUGUAAUAUGCCAUGUUAAAUAUUAAAAUUAUCGUUAUAACUAAACCUGUCAACUAGGUCGGUCGGUCAAGGUCAUAUCCAAUUCGACCCAACCCAGUAAUGAUAAUGACAUAAGUUGAACUUAAAUUUAAGUAGGGACGAUUAUGAUUUUAUGAUACAUGCAUGCUUGACAAGGACGACUAUUUAUUAUUAUUAUUAUUAUUAUUAUUAUUAUUAUUAUUAUUAUUAUUAUUAUUAUUAUUAUUAUUAUUAUUAUUGGUUUAACAAUGUCGGUUUCUAGCGUACCACACAUUCUCAUGUACUAUAUAUUAUAUGCCUAGAGCAAAUUGGAACACAUUCCCCUGCAUUGAAAAAAAAAAGGAUAAAUGACAAAUCUUCUUAUUGAUGGCUAGAAGAUUUCAUUCAUAUGUCACCUCAAAAAUCAAAACUUUUAAUGUAUCUAAGUAAGAAUAUUUGCAAUAUGAUUUCCUGUUAGAACAAGUUGUUGAAUUGUUUAGAUAAAAGAAAGACAUUCGAAAGGGUCAUUAAAAGUUUCUAGAUAACUUAGAACAAAUAUAUUUUGAUCCUUAAAUAAAAUCUACCAACAUUUUUGUUUGUUUGUAAUGAAGCCGCCUUGGGGUGGUGGGAGGUUAGCUAUGGACCCUUACUUUGUAAGAGGGGAACAUAAAAUCUAACCUCCGCAAAUUAGAGGUGAAAAUUAAAUCUUUUUAAUUUUCAGAAACAACAUGUUUAGUGGAUGAAAAUAACAUUUUCAAGGAUAUAGUUAAAGGUGAAGGAGUAAAAGAAUUUAACUCAAAUGAAGAAUCUUUUGAGGAGUGACUCCAUGUAAAAAAACCUUAAAAAAUUUAGUUCGAGUAGAGUCCUUUGCUAGCAUAUUCAUUGUUUCUAUUAUUAUUAUUAUAUUAUGUAUGCGUUUCAAAGUUGAUGUAGAGGAAGAGUAUUACAAAGUGGGAAAUCAAACCUUAACCAAUAAAGUGAAAGUUUAGAUAAUUAAUCAACUAAGCUACUUCAAUAAUUAUAAAUGUUGCAUUUAAGUUAAGUAUAAGAACAAAAUGAUCCAACAAAAUGUAUAUAUUUUGUAAAUUGUUGAAAACAAUGUAGUAUUCUACUAAAGGAAAAAUAAAUCUAUAUGUCCAGCUGGUGUAAUCUUUUUCAAUAGAAUAUUACUUUUAAUUUGAGAAAAAAAUGAAAUCUUUUAAGAAUAUAUAUCCUCAUAUAGACGUGUUGUUGAAAUCAAGUCCACAUUAAUUAUACGAUCUGUACCAUAGACAAAUUUUGAUUAAAUUUCCCUUUGGUAUAAAGUAGAUAUAUCAAGAAAGGGAAUGUAGUACAAUUAGUACUGAUCCAGAAAAAUGCUUGAUCCCUUACAAUUUCGAAAGGCCACAUAUUAUCAUAGUACUCUAUUUUUCCCAGGUAAAGGUAUCGAAAUGUAACGAUUAGUCGAUUAAUAUAGGCAUAAAUCAUAAUACAUAAAUAUGCCAUUUAAUUUGGCAUCAUCUAGCAUCUAUCAGGAGUGUACACGUAGACACUUAAAUUUGUAUAAAGUUGAACAAGUCGACACACACGUCCUAUGUGGCAUGGUACACGUACGUAAGAGCGUCUUAUGUGGCAUGGUACACGUAAGACGCCACAUAAGAUGUUGAAUAGAACGUGAAUUACCACGUAGGACAUGUGUGUCUACUUGUUCAAUUCUAUACAAGUUAAAAUGCCUACUUGUGCAUCCAAAAUUGGAGGGCAUAUAUGUCAGAUAAAACCAAAUUAAAGGUCAUAAAGUAUUACAAUGUAAUCUUGGAAUGUGAUUCAAAGAUAUUUUUUGAGAUGACCAAAGGUAAUUACAAUAUCCCUUGGCAAAUGAAGAAUAUCAUUACUUGUAUUUAAAAUAUUUCAAAUACUAUUACUUGUGAGGUUCGACAUUGUUACAGGGAAAUCAAUGAAGUUGCAAAUGUCUUGGCAAAAUGGAGUAUUACAAAUGAGGAGUUGGUUGUUUUUGCACAUGCUCACCUACCAUCGAUAGCCAUCAGACCUUACCAACUUGAUCUCAUACAAAUGAGUCCCUAAGGCAUAAGCAGAGGAAAAAAAAUAUUUGUAUAAAACUGAUUCAGUUGAGAUGUUAUAGCUAAUUUGUUUCUAUCGCAUUGGACUUGUAAAUUUGUGCAAAACUUGUAUAAUUUUUGCCAGAAUCUUAGUUUUUGUGAAGCAGCUUUUGGCUGCGAUGUGAAACAUUGGGUCGAGCUUAAGCUCCCCUUAGCUUUGUAAUUUUAUUCAUCAAUAUAUAUAAAGGUCUUACCACCAUAUGGUGAUAAAUUAUUAUUUUUUAGAAAAAAAAAUCAUAUUUAUGUAUUAUGCCAUGUUAAUAUUAAAAUUAUUGUUAUAACUAAACCUGUCAACUAGGUCGGUCAGUCAAGGUCAUAUCUAAUUCGACCCAACCCAUUAAUGGUAAUGAUAAUUACAUAAGUUGAACUUAAAUUUAAUAUAGGACGAUUAUGAUUUUAUGAUACAUGCAUGCUUGGCAAGGACGAUUAUUUAUUGCAUUAUUAUUAUUAUUAUUAUUAUUAUUGGUUUAACAAUGUCGAUUUCUAGCGUACCACACAUUCUCAUGUACUAUAUAUUAUAUGCCUAGAGCAAAUUGGAACACAUUCCCCUGCCAUUGAAAAAAAAAAGGAUAAAUGACGAAUCUUCUUAUUGAUGGCUAGAAGAUUUCAUUCAUAUGUCACCUCAAAAAAUCAAAACUUUUAAUAUGUAUCUAAAUAAGAAUAUUUGCAAUAUGAUUUCCUGUUAGAACAAGUUGUUGAAUUGUUUAGAUAAAAGAAAGACAUUCGAAUGGGUCAUUAAAAGUUUCAAGAUAAUUCAGAACAAAUAUAUUUUGAUCAUUAAAUAAAAUAUAUCAACAUUUUUUUUUUUGUAAUGAAGCCGCCUUGGGGUGGUGGGAUGUUAGGAAUGGACCCUUACUUUGUAAGAGGGGAACAUAAAAUCUAACCUCCGCAAAUUAGAGGUGAAAAUUAAAUCUUUUUAAUUUUCAGAAACAACAUGUUUAGUGGAUGAAAAUAACAUUUUCAAGGAUAUAGUUAAAGGUGAAGGAGUAAAAGAAUUUACUUCAAAUGAAGAAUCUUUCGAGGAGUGAUUCCACGUAAAAAAAACCUUAAAAAUGUAUUUCGAGUAGAGUCCUUUGCUAGCAUAUUCAUUAUUUAUAUUAUUAUAUUACGUAUGAUGUUUCAAAGUUGAUGUUCCGGCUAAUGAGCUAGAAUCAAGAUAUUCCAACAAAAGUGAUAUCUUUCACUGGGAAACUAUGGGUAUUAUUUACUAGGACAUUAUGAAUGAACCCAUAAAAUUUGAGCUUAAACAGAGUCGAUACUUCUAGUAAAUUAAAGAUGAAAGAGAUCAUAAUUCAGAGCUAAUGUUCUUUAUUUCAUGUGAUGGACUUUGCUCAAUCUCAAAAUGUAUUAAAUGAUAAAAACAUAAAGCAUAUAGCCACAAAAGUACGUAGUAGAAAAAAAAUAUUAUUGAUACUUCAGAUUAAAAUGCAUUACAUACAUAAAAGAUGCUCAUUUGUUAUCAACUUCUUUAUUUCAUGCUAUAAGAUGCAUACAAAGUAAAAUUGCCACUAGCUAUGACCAAAGUAUAUUACUUUAUUUGUACAUCAAAAAACAACUUAAAAUGGGAGAAAAAACAACCCUCUGAAGAAGCUAAAGAAACUAUACAAAUGGGGUUGGUUUAUUGUAAAAAUUAAUAAUUUGACCUCGAGAGAUCGGUAUUUUUUUAAUUAUUUUUUUUUAGAAAAAAGAAGAAUAGUUGUAUAAACUCUUACACUUGCAACCAAGUCAUUAUUUUCUAUACCCAAAUGGCAUUUGCCCUUAUGAGCAAUUGUUUAAGUUUGCCCCUCACAUUAAAGCUCAUUAUCUCAUUUGCACCACCAACUAACUCUUUCCCUAUAAAUAUUGCUGGCACACUUGGUUGACACCCUAGUUCCAUCAAUGCCUUCUCCAUUUGCUUCCCAUUUGGAUGUGUAUCGAGCUCGUAAAUUGUAGGGUUUGCACCAAAACUACGUAUUAGAGUUUCGAUGCUGUGAGAAAUGCAACAACUACUCUUAGUGAAAAUCACCACCGAGCUUGAUGUUCCCAACUUCAUCACCAUAUCCAUGCUUAAAUAAACUUCAAUAAUUAAUGAGUACUAUAGUUUGGCCAAAUGCCAAGAUAUGUAUGUAUAGCUUUUAGUGAAGAGGAAAGAAAUUGUGAAGUGAAUUUGAGGUUUGAUUUGUUGUUGAGAAAAU